GUGUGUGUGUGCGCGCGCGCGCGCGCGCGUGCGCGAGUGCACAUGCACGUGUUGUGUUGUGUUUCCUCCAUAAGAAAUUCUUUUCCUGGAUUUGUGAUCCCUGUGGAACAUUAAGAACCUCUCCGAUUGAAUCUCAGGGAGGAACCGGAGGUAUGAAUGACAACUGUUUGAGAAGAAGGUCCCAAAUCCCUCUCUUAAAACCUUGGGAUUGUGCUUGAGACUCAGCCCCGAUGUGUUCCGUGGUGAGUCACUCACCUGGUUUACCCACACUGUAUGCUCCCCCUACCUGCCCCUACCUUGUCAUAAGUGCUGAGGAUUGAACCCAUGGCCUCGUUGCAUGUCAGGUGCUGGGAACAUUAAAUCUUCAUGUCUGGAGGACAAGAAAACUAAAAGUACUCAUUGUUCAGUAGCCACUGAGGCUGAUGGGAGGCGGGACUGUGGAUUCACGUGGCUGACGAUGACUGGUCUUCCUGGCCAUAUUACUUUCUCUUUCUUUUAUCAAGUACAGACAUGGCGCCUGCCUGGAGUGGUGGUAUGAGUGCCCAAUCUCAACGAAACAACCAAGGCCACCUGUUCCCAUUUUUUUUUAUUGCUGUUGUUACAUGUGUAUAUGUGACAUAUGUGCAUGUAUGUUCAUGUGUUUGUGGGUACACAUUGUAUGCCGGUGUGUGUGGAUAUGUCUCUACGUGGCCAUUGAAGAAAUUAAAACAGGAAGACUCGAUUGUUA
rnacentral:lncRNA from 1 species